UACGGGAGGCAGCAGUGGGGAAUAUUGGACAAUGGGCGAAAGCCUGAUCCAGCCAUGCCGCGUGUGUGAAGAAGGUCUUCGGAUUGUAUAGCACUUUAAGUUGGGAGGAAGGGCAGUUACCUAAUACGUGAUUGUUUUGACGUUACCGACAGAAUAAGCACCGGCUAACUCUGUGCCAGCAGCCGCGGUAAU
rnacentral:rRNA from 1 species